rnacentral:rRNA from 1 species
UGCCAGACUCCUACGGGAGGCAGCAGUGGGGAAUAUUGCACAAUGGGGGAAACCCUGAUGCAGCGACGCCGCGUGAGCGAUGAAGUAUUUCGGUAUGUAAAGCUCUAUCAGCAGGGAAGAAAAUGACGGUACCUGACUAAGAAGCCCCGGCUAACUACGUGCCAGCAGCCGCGGUAAUACGUAGGGGGCAAGCGUUAUCCGGAUUUACUGGGUGUAAAGGGAGCGUAGACGGCGGUGCAAGCCAGAUGUGAAAGCCCGGGGCUCAACCCCGGGACUGCAUUUGGAACUGUGCUGCUAGAGUGUCGGAGAGGCAGGCGGAAUUCCUAGUGUAGCGGUGAAAUGCGUAGAUAUCAGGAGGAACACCGGUGGCGAAGGCGGCCUGCUGGACUGCAACUGACGUUGAGGCCCGAAAGCGUGGGGAGCAAACAGGAUUAGAUACCCCAGUACG